GACGAACGCUGGCGGCGUGCUUAACACAUGCAAGUCGAACGUGAUUUUUGUGGAAAGCCCUUCGGGGACGGAAGCGAAAUGAAAGUGGCGAACGGGUGAGUAACACGUGAGCAGCCUACCUUACACAGGGGGAUAGCCGUUGGAAACGACGAUUAAUACCGCAUGAGACCACAAAGCCACAUGGCUUAGGGGUAAAAGAUUUAUCGGUGUAAGAUGGGCUCGCGUCUGAUUAGCUAGUUGGAAGGGUAAAGGCCUACCAAGGCAACGAUCAGUAGCCGGUCUGAGAGGAUGAACGGCCACAUUGGAACUGAGACACGGUCCAAACUCCUACGGGAGGCAGCAGUGGGGAAUAUUGCACAAUGGGGGGAACCCUGAUGCAGCGACGCCGCGUGAGCGAAGAAGGUUUUCGAAUCGUAAAGCUCUGUCCUAUGAGAAGAUAAUGACGGUAUCAUAGGAGGAAGCCCCGGCUAAAUACGUGCCAGCAGCCGCGGUAAUACGUAUGGGGCGAGCGUUGUCCGGAAUUAUUGGGCGUAAAGGGUACGUAGGCGGCCUAUUAAGUCAGGUGUGAAAGCGUGAGGCUUAACCUCAUUAAGCACUUGAAACUGGAAGGCUUGAGUGAAGGAGAGGAAAGUGGAAUUCCUAGUGUAGCGGUGAAAUGCGUAGAUAUUAGGAGGAAUACCGGUGGCGAAGGCGACUUUCUGGACUUUUACUGACGCUCAGGUACGAAAGCGUGGGGAGCAAACAGG
rnacentral:rRNA from 1 species